rnacentral:rRNA from 1 species
UGGGGAAUUUUGGACAAUGGGGGCAACCCUGAUCCAGCCAUUCCGCGUGAGUGAAGAAGGCCUUCGGGUUGUAAAGCUCUUUCGGACGGAACGAAAUGGUUACGGACAAUACCCGUGACUGAUGACGGUACCGUAAGAAGAAGCACCGGCUAACUACGUGCCAGCAGCCGCGGUAAUACGUAGGGUGCGAGCGUUAAUCGGAAUUACUGGGCGUAAAGCGUGCGCAGGCGGCGGCUCAAGUCAGGUGUGAAAUCCCCGGGCUUAACCUGGGAAUUGCGCUUGAAACUAGGCCGCUAGAGUGUGGCAGAGGGGGGUGGAAUUCCACGUGUAGCAGUGAAAUGCGUAGAGAUGUGGAGGAACACCGAUGGCGAAGGCAGCCCCCUGGGUCAACACUGACGCUCAGGCACGAAAGCGUGGGGAGCAAACAGGAUUAGAUACCCCGGUAGUCC